UACGUAGGUGGCGAGUGUUGUCCGGAUUUACUGGGCGUAAAGAGCGCGCAGGCGGCUGGUCAAGUCCGAUGUGAAAGCUCCCGGCUUAACUGGGAAAUUGCAUCGGAAACUGAUCGGCUGGAAGGUGGGAGAGGGUAGCGGAAUUCCCGGUGUAGUGGUGAAAUGCGUAGAUAUCGAGAGGAACACCUGCGGCGAAGGCGGGUUGCUGGGCUGACACUGACGCUGAUGUGCGAAAGCUAGGGGAGCGAACGGG
rnacentral:rRNA from 1 species